rnacentral:tRNA from 1 species
UUCCUGGUGAUCCAGUGGUAAGGACUCAGCACUUCCACUGCAGGAGGCACAGGUUCAAUCCCUGGUCAGGGAA